rnacentral:rRNA from 1 species
GUCUGCUUGCCCAUAAAAAGCAGUCUAGCCUGCCCACUGAAUAAUUUAAAGGCCGCGGUAUCCUGACCGUGCGAAGGUAGCAUAAUAAUUAGUCUUUUAAUUGGAGACCGGAAUGAAAGGCUGGACAAAAAGCAACCUGUCUCAGUUUUUUCUCAUUGAACUUAACUUUUAAGUGAAAAGGCUUAAAUAAAUAAGGGGGACGACAAGACCCUGUAAAACUUUAUACUUACGAUUUUGAAUUAUAAUUUUUUUAUUUAAAAUAACCUCACUCUCCAUAGUAUUUCGUUGGGGCGACGAGAGUAUAAACCUAACUGCUCUUUAUUUAAACAAAAAUUUUUGACACCUUGAUCCUUUUUUAAGAUUUCAAGAAAAAGUUACUUAAGGGAUAACAGCGUAAUUUUUUUUAAGAGUCCAUAUCGACAAAAAAGUUUGCGACCUCGAUGUUGAAUUAAAAUCUCCUCUUAGUGCAGCAAUUAAGAAGGAAGGUCUGUUCGACCUUUAAACUUUUACAUGAUUUGAGUUCAAACCGGCGCAAG